GGGCGUGUAGAUCAGCUUGGAAGAUCGCCUCGUUCGCAACGAGGAGGCCACGGGUUCAAAUCCCGUCACGUCCACCA
rnacentral:tRNA from 1 species